rnacentral:rRNA from 1 species
GAUGAACGCUGGCGGCGUGCCUAAUACAUGCAAGUCGAGCGAACGGACGAGAAGCUUGCUUCUCUGAUGUUAGCGGCGGACGGGUGAGUAACACGUGGAUAACCUACCUAUAAGACUGGGAUAACUUCGGGAAACCGGAGCUAAUACCGGAUAAUAUUUUGAACCGCAUGGUUCAAAGGUGAAAGACGGUCUUGCUGUCACUUAUCGAUGGAUCCGCGCUGCAUUAGCUAGUUGGUAAGGUAACGGCUUACCAAGGCAACGAUGCAUAGCCGACCUGAGAGGGUGAUCGGCCACCCUGGAACUGAGACACGGUCCAGACGCCUACGGGAGGCAGCAGUAGGGAAUCUUCCGCAAUGGGCGAAAGCCUGACGGAGCAACGCCGCGUGAGUGAUGAAGGUCUUCGGAUCGUAAAACCCUGUUAUUAGGGAAGAACAUAUGUGUAAGUAACUGUGCACAUCUUGACGGUACCUAAUCAGAAAGCCACGGCUAACUACGUG